rnacentral:tRNA from 4 species
AGGGAGAUGGCUCAGUGGUAGAGUGCGGAGAAGCCGACGAAACACUCCGAAGUCACAGGUUCGAUUCCUGUUCUCCCUA